AAGGGGGCGACCUGUGCCCACUGGGCGGAGCGGGGCCACGUGGCCUCCUGUUCCUCCUGUGUCUCCUCCUUUUUUUGUGGCUCUGGGGCCUGAGCAGGGCCUGUCGUGCGAGGCAGCCUCUCCCCCUGAACUUCGCCCCAGCCCAACCCUUUUUCUUCUUCUCCAGGGCAAGAUUCUCUGCCCGUCCCGCUGCCCACGUUCCUGGUAGCUGGGGGAAGCCUGGCCUUCGGCUCGCUGCUGUGCGUCGGCAUCAUCCUCAGGUGAGACGGGCGGGGGUCUCUGUGACGUCCUGUGUGUCGUAUGUAGCUGCCCUUCACCCCGGAACCACCAAAUGUACAGGGGCUGGGGACGGGGCUUGGUGUAGAGCCCUGGCCUGGGGAGCACGGCGCCCUGGGUUCUAGCCCAGCAGCGUGUGCACACAGACAGACACACGUGCACACGCACACACUCACACACGCGCGCACACGCACAUACACACGCGUGCACACACGUGCACACACACACAGAGCCUGCAGUGAGAAGUGCUUUGGGGUCUUGGAGGCCUCCGGCUGGCGGGCGUGGUGGUGCACCCCUGUGAUCCCAGUGACUCAGGAGACCCGGGGAGGCAGGAGGAUUGCGAGUUCGAGGCUCGCCGUGGUGACUUAGAAAGAUCCUGAAUCCACAUAAAAAAAUCUAAGUGGCUUAGGGCCUUGCUCAGUUUCUGAGACUGGCUUUGAACUUGUGAUCUUCCUGCCUCAGCCUCCCAAGCUGCUGGGAUCGAAAUUAUUUUUUUAAAAAAAUUAAAAAGAGGCUGGGGAUACAGCUCAGAGGUCAGGUGCCCUGGGUUCAAUCCCAUUUCCACACACACACCAUCUGGGAGCAUUUGCUCAUCCAUUUAUUCACUCAGCAAAUGAAGGCACCUCCAGCACACAGAGCGCCCACUAGGAGGCUACCCUGAUUCAGCGCUGCAGGACAGAGGCCGAUAGGGUGGAGGCUGUCUAAUGCGGAGGGCAGACUGGGUAGGUGACCACAGGUGUGUGGGUGACAGCUGCCAACAGAGCCGCUGAGCUGGGCACGGAGGCCCACGCCUGUAAUCCCAGCAGCUUGGGAGGCUGAGGCAGGAGGAUCGUGAGUUCAAAGCCAGCCUCAGCAACUUAGCAAGGCCCUGAGAAACUCAGUGAGACUCUGUCUCCAAAUAAAAAAUAAAAAGGGCUGGGGAUGUGGCUCAGUGAUCAAAUGCCCCUGGGUUUAAUCCCCAGUACCACAAACAAACAAAACUUCUUUUGGAUACAGAACUGGUUAUUUUUGUUUGUUGGUUGGUUGGUUGGUUGGUAUAGGGGGAUUGAACUCAACCACUGAGCCACAUCCCCAGCCCUAUUUUAUUUAGUGACAAAUUCUCACUGAGUUGCUUAGGGCCUCGCCAUUGCUGAGGCUGGCUUUGAACUCACGAUCCUCCUGUCUCAGCCUCCAGAGCUGCUGGGAUUACAGGUAUGUGCCACUGUGCCCUGCUCCUACCUUUUAAAUUUAGCAUUCUAAUAUAAGCAUUUUUUUUCCAUGUAUUUACAAAUCCUUUGCAAACUCACUUUCAUUAGCUGCAGAUCCCUCUAUCCGGGAUUAAUACCCAAGUUCACUAAACCAGUCUCCUAUUAUUGGGCAGUUGGAUGUUGUUCUGCUUUUAUAAACAACACUGUGCUGGACAUCUUUGUGCCAUAAGCUUCUCCAUAGCUCUGUUAUUCCCAGAAGAGGAAUUCCUUAGUCAGAGGGUCUGAAUAUUUUGCAAUCCAGAGUAUAAAGAAUCUGUCCUCUAUCUUCUCACAGGGGAGGAGAAUUCCACUCAAGGACUCAGCAAAACUUCAAUAAGCACCCCGCUGGGCUCUUCCUGUGUGGGGCCCAAGUGGCGAAGCCCUAAGUCACAUUCUGAGGUUGUUUAUUCCAUUUGGUCAGUGGGCUCAGAGCCAAAGGCAGACUUGGAGCCAACUAUCAAUUAUCUAUCCUCACAAGGACAGGAAUAGCCUGCUGAUAUAAAAAGAAGCCAAGGAAAAUGCCCAAAUUUUGUUUUUGAUGUUGGUUUCCCUUCCUCCCCGUGGUGCCUCCUGGAGCCACUGAUAUGUGCUGGACUCAGGGAGGCCAUCUUUCUCCCACUCUGGGGACAAGUCAGCCACAAGGUGGUCAGGAGACGGGGGAGAAGAGGCCCGGCUGCCUGGGCGCGGGUGAAGGGCCCCUUCAGGAAGGAGACCGGCUGCACCUUUGAAGAUCAAUGUCACCAUCUCCUCUUUCUCUGAUUGUCAAGUGACUUCUCUCCGUUGCUGAGCCUGGCUUUGGGCCCAGUGUGGAGCCCCGUGAGCAAGGCUGUGAUCAGAGAGAUAGAUGUCUAUCUCCUUCCUGUUUAGCACCGACUUUCCUGUCGGAUGAGUCAACCUGUGCCCGUGUGCCCACAGCGUGAGGGUGGGCACUCUCGCUGGUUGGGUGGGACGGACCAGAGGCUCAGGGAGAGUUGGGGGGAAUGGGAAUGUCAGGGACAGGAGUGUCACCAAGGGCCACUGAAUGGUGGUUGCACGUGGUCUUCGGGCUGGCCUUGAUUUGAAGGAGGCCCAUUUUCCUUCCCUCUAAAAGAAGACGUUGCUGUUUUGUUUUUUAGUCCUGGGGAUUGAGCCCCGGGGGUGCCCUAUCACUGGGCCACAUCCCCAGCUCUUUUUACUUUUUGUUUUGAGACAGGGUCUUGUUAAGUGGCCCGGACUGGCCUAGAACCUGGGGUCCUUCUGCCUCGGCCUCUUGAUUCAUUAGGAUCACGGGCAUGAUCCACCAUGUCUUGAUGUUUCCCUUUUCAAAAAUAAAUGGACUGGGGACUGACGAUGGAUAGCCUGUGGGACAGGACAAAUUGAGGGAUUAGCAGGGACUUGCUGGUGCUCCACCAGGACAACCCUGCCUGCCUCAGUCCCCCUUUUGCCUAGCCGUGGAGACCUCCCUUCUUGGGAUGCUUGGGGAACUCAGCCGCUCUCCGGAGGCUGGCAGAAUCUCUGGGGUUUGAGACCAGCUGCUGAUGGGAUGAAUCAUCAUCACGCCUUGGAGCCGAGCCUGGGCGCUCCAGACCUCCAGGGCCACCAGCUGUUGGGUUCAUCGCAGGGGACCGUCACAUGGGUGUGAUGUGUCUUUGUGUGUUUGCGUGCAGGUUCAAGAAGACGUGGAAGCCACAGGCCCUGAAAGAGUGCAAGACGGGCGUGCACCCGCCGUAUUCCCUGGGGCAGUCCAAGCCCACCAUUGUGCUGGCUCCCCUCCUUUCCCCACCUGUGUCCCCCAGCAGCCUCGGCUCAGACAGCACCUCGAGCCACAGCCGACCAGAUGCCAGGGACUCGCGGAGCCCUUACGACAUCAGCAACAGAGACUACUUCUUCGCCAGAUAGCUGUCUGGGUGGCCCCUGGCAGCGGGGUGACAGAGGUGCUGAAUUGUGUGGGUGACGCAGCCCACGCUGGCUCUGGAAAGACGCUUCUCACUGCCAUUCCAGCUCAUCUCAGGGGCGUGGGGCAUUUGGCUUCACGGUGACGGAAGAGCCUGCAGAAGGUUCUAGACUGGUGGAAAUCGGCUUGCUACACCUGUUCUGAAGGAAGAGCUGGUUGAGCUUUCAAACCGCUCUUCCCAAGCGCUCUGCUUCGGGGGGUCUCAGCGACUCAGGACACUGUGAAGAGAGCCGCGCCAAGACUCGAUGGGACCGAGGGUGUGGAGGAGCUGCCGGGCACCCCCACACCCGGACUCAUCUCUGCCAGCCGAACCCUCAGGCAGGGGCAGGGGCUUCCAGGAGGCCUGCCGUGGUGGCUGGCUCCUGCCCCUGCCCAGUCGCACCUUGUCCCUCCGACUCUGGAAACCCAAGUGCCUUUGCCAUUCUGUUUCCUGGACUGAGGAUGGCUUUGUGCAAACCACUGAGGCUGGGGAGGGAGCUCUUUCCUGCCUUCCCCCCACACUUGAAAAGCAGCUGGUGUGUGAGUGUGAGUGUGAGUGUGUGUGCAGGGGGUGGUGAAUAAGUCUCAGGGCCGAUGGUUUAAGUGGAAUCAUAAUCAGCUCCUCACGAGUGUUGUGCUCAAUGUGAAUGAUAACCCUAGGCUUUUGCUGGCUACAGAAGCAGCUGCGCCAACUUUGUCCCCCUGUUGGGGUCUCAGGGCUUGAGGACAGAAGCAGAGAGGAAGGAGGGGAGUAGGGACAGGGUCUUCAAGGUCCCCUGUUGUAGCUGAGGGGGACCCCAGCCUCUGGAAACCAGUUUCCUCUCCCCCCUGCCAGUGCUGGGAGCCAAGUCAGUUGACUUCAUCUUGGUUGGUUGGGGUGCCGACCGGACCUGAGUGAUCAGUGUAGACGGUGUCGGUGUGAAAGGAAAAACGAAUCCGCAAGAAUGUGCUUCGUGUUUUUGAAAACCUGCUCUUUUCUCUUGAGGUGCUGGGAGCCUCAGUCUUCUCUGGAUUUCGGUUUAUAAAUAACUUGGGGCGGGGCACGAUGAUUCUGUUUAGCACCAAAGCAAGUCCACUCAAAAAAGGAGGAGGAGGAGAAGAAGUUUCCCUUAUGGAGAAGAGAUUCUGGUUUCAUUCUGUAUUUUGUUUUUGUCUUGCAAACCGUAAAAAUAGUCUCUGCCUCUUCUCUGAAUUGGGGAAAAAGUCACUUGUGACUGUCCCCCUGCCCCUCCCCUAGGUGGUUAGGAAAGAAAGGGUGUCCCCCUUCCUGUUGUGAUGCCGCCCACGAGUACCCGGCAGGGUCCUAGAAAGUCCCCACUGAGACUCAGAAGGGAGGUUCAUUUUUUUAAAAAUAUAAAUCCCUUACCUGGGUUUCUUCCUCUUUUUGUUUUGUUCCUUGAACUGGAUUCGGCUCAGCUCCCAUGGAAGCAGCCGAUGGGUGUCCAGCUGUGACACCCGUAACCACCAGCUCACUUUCCUGUCGGGGCUUUGAGAACUCAGUGAUGUUAGUGUCACCCAGACAGGUGACCACAGAGGAGAGCGGUGAUUAAAACGAGCUGUGGAGCCACAGACCCUGAAUUUACCAGACCACAAGGCUUUUCUAGAAGUUUACCCUUUUAGAAAAACACCACCGCCACCAGACACGUGGCGAAGGGUGGAAGCCCCCAUGUGUUCGCCAAGCGCCGGGUUCUGGGCGUCACUGUCUCGAGCCCUGGUGGCUCUCACAUCCUGCCGUCUUAGGCGGGUGGUCCACGGGGUUGACAAGAGUCAAGCAGGUGUUCAUGGCUCUCCUUUCCCCCCGCUCUGUCAGGUUUCUGAAUCACAAAAAUGCUGUGAAAGGAAAUGUUAGAAUGAGGAUCUGCAUGAGAGAGUGCGACUCUGCCCACGGCUCUUUAACUCUCACACAGUUCUGCCCACAGCCAGGCAGGGCCGCUGGUGGGGGACGUGAGAUCCAGAGAGUUCAUCGUCUCUGAGAGCGAGGCAGCUUUGAUCUCCAAAUUGUUAUUGCUUUCACUAUUAUUGUACCGGAACUGCCUUUUCUUUUGGGGGGAGGCGGUAUCACAGAGGGUUCCCCCCUUUACUUGUUGUAAGCUAGUGCCAGUGGAGGAAAGGCUGGCCUCUCUGGGCUCAGAGUCUGCUUCGUGGCCAGGCCCCUGCCUUAGGCUUUCUGUGUCUGAAUGGUUCCUGGACACGUGUCUCUGUCCACUAGUCCCAUGGAUCACUCUUCCUUAGGUCCCUGCAGUCCACAGGCUGCCUUGGAUCCUCAACAGGGCCGACACUACCUACGGCCUGCGCCCUCAGCCACAUAGCCAGAUGUUGAAGUGUGUGGACAGGGACCAUUGAAGGAGGAGGGAUGCACGAAUUUAGAAGCCCAUCUUGUUGGGUGGGCCCAGUCGAAAAUAUGCUGGACCCAGGUCUAACCUAAAGUGAUCAUCAGUUCUUGUAGCAUUAAUGACAUGUUUUUAAAAAAACAUUGGAUGUGUGUCGUACAAGGUCUUUGGGGGACUCCGCGGUUUGCUCUGAUGGGGUCUCCCCCUGGCCGUUUGUUUGCCGGACCCUGAACUCACACUGGGCCUCCACCACUUCCCCGCUGUCUCAGGAGCAAGGCGUGGGCUCCGUUGUGGGAACUGGUUUGGGAGCCCCGUGGUCCUGAGUAGAGCCCAGCGGGCAGCCUGGGGCUGGCCAUGGCUUGUGAGUCUCUUGAAGAUUGUUCCGGAAUGUCUUGCCCAGCUGCUCCGGCGCUGUCUGUUCCCAUUGCAGGUCCUUAACAUUGACCCACUUGGGAAGGUGUCCCACCCCCAGUUCCAGGUGGAGAUGGUGACAAAUCUGUCCUCAUUUGGAGACGGGAGCCACCAACGGUCCUUCUCCAAACAGCAACCUGCAAUGGGGCUGUGGCCAGAAGGCUCCAGCAGCUGCCUCCGGCUUUGGGCCAGGCACUCCCAGGCGUCCCCUAAAAGUCCUUCCAGCCUCUGUCCCUAGUGUGGCUGGGCGCCAGCUCCAGGGAGUUCCCAUGGCAACCUUGAUGAUCGUUAAGGAACAUUGUCAGUUUUCUGAACAUGUGCUCAGAUGGAGAUCUGCUUUGGAAGGGAAGGACUGGGACAGCGAGAGACCUCGCUGGAGGAGCCCACGCCUGCUGACCACGAUACCUCAGCUCUGCAUCGCUUUUGGAGAGAAAUAGAUCAUCGUUUUAAGGGACUUCCCUCUUAAUUACCUGAAAACCAAUACCAAAGGCUGAUGUCAGUGUAUUUUGAUUUUUCAACGCUUUUUUCCUUUUAUCGCUAUUUUGCACUUAAAGUGAACAUGGUAAAUGUUUGAAAUAAAUAAUUUCUAAAAAAAGA
rnacentral:lncRNA from 1 species